rnacentral:rRNA from 1 species
UACGGAGGGGGCCAGCGUUGUUCGGAAUCAUUAGGCGUAAAGGGCGCGUAGGCGGCUUUGUAAGUCCGUUGUGAAAUCCCUCGGCUCAACCGAGGAACUGCGACGGAUACUGCUUGGCUUGAGUCCCGGAGAGGGUAGCGGAAUUCCCAGUGUAGCGGUGAAAUGCGUAGAUAUUGGGAGGAACAUCGGUGGCGAAGGCGGCUACCUGGACGGGUACUGACGCUGAUGCGCGAAAGCCAGGGGAGCAAACAGG